rnacentral:sRNA from 1 species
AAUUAUGAGGACAUUGAUCGCGAAGUUACUCAGAUCUUUCCCAAUACUCUAAGAGUCUAUCACUAUGAGAUUGUUGAAUUCCACAUAUUUCAUUCCGAAAAUU